GACCAUGCUACAGCUUUGCUCAAAAUUUUUUGCUGGUUACCUAUCACUACAAAACAAGUUCUGGGACUUCCCUGGUGGAACAGUGGAUAAGAAUCCACCUUCUAAUGCAGUGACAUGGGUUUGAGCCCUGGGUCGGGAAGAUCCCACAUGCUGCAGAGCAACUAAGCCUGUGCCCCACAACUACUGAGUCUGCACUCUAGAGCCUGUGAGCCACAACUACUGAGCCCAUGUGCUGCAACUGCUGAAGUCUGCAUGCCUAGAGCCCGUGCUCCACAACAAGGGAAGCCACCGUAAUGAGAAGCCCACGCACUGCAAUAAAGAGUAGUCCCCACUCGUCGCAACUAGAGAAAGCCUGUGCACAGCAACGAAGACCCAACACAGCCAAAAAUAAAUAAGUAAAUAAGGAAACCAAGACUCAAUGUGAUUAAGUAACUUGUCCAGAAUCAUCCAAACAGUUCGUGGGCUUUAACACCAGUCUCUGGGUACUAAAGCUUAUGCUUUUCAUGGAGCAAUGCUGUGUCCCCUGGGGUGAAGACAAGAGUGACCCAAGACCCUCAAGUCUAACUGCCAUCACGUUGCACUCAGGAGAAUUUCCAGAGCAACUUGUGUACCCAGGAGCUGGCCAGGCAGAUGUGGGCAUUCUCUAAAGCCCUCCAUGUGUCUUCUGCCUUCAGCACAGGUGGUGCUUGGCUGUGAAUCAACUAUGGUCUAAUUGUUCCUUUGUUUGUUUAUUCAUUCAUCGACAGGUGUAUGUUAUUCUGACCAUUUAUGUGACAAUUAUAUGCCAGAAACUACUCUGGGCACUGGAAGUUCAGCCAUAUGCAAAAUAGACUAAAAAAAAAAAACCUUGCUCUAAUGGAACUUACAUUCUAAAUGGGGAACAUGGGCAGUAAGUGAAUGAACAAACAUGUCUGUUUAUUUACUUAUUUAAUGUUGAGGAGUAAUAAGGUCUUUGAAGAAAAAUAAAAUUGGGAAGAGGAACCUGGAGGGCAUGGUAUUUGUUGUUCUAAAUAGGGUGGUGAGGGACCUCUUUGUUGAUAAGGUGAAGGAGGUGCGAAAUGAGCCACACAGAUAUGGGGUGGGGUUGGAGUUUGGGGUGUUCCUGGAAAAGGGAAGAGCAAGUCCAAAAGCACCAUGGCAGGAGGGUACUUGGUAUCUUCUAGGAACAGUCAGGAAGCCAGUGAGCCUGGAGCAGAGUGAGCCAGGGGCAGAGGGGUAAGAGAGAAGUAAUAGGGUGCCAGUCAUGAUGGGUCUUAUUUGACAUUUUAAGGAUUGGGGCAUUUAUUCUGAAUGAGAUGCAAAGUCAGUAGAUGAUUCCAAUCUGAGGAAGCACAUGAUUUGACUUAUGUUCUUAAAGGAUUAUUAUGGUUCCUGGGGUGAGAACAUACCACAGGAAAGAAAGGAUGGAGGCAGGGAGACCUGUUAGGAGGCUGUGGCAACAAUCCAGAUGAGAGAUGAUGUUGGCUUGGAUGGAAUUAGCAGUGGUGGAGGUCAUGAGAAUGGUUAGAUUCCGGAUAUGAUUUGAGGCUAGAGCCAUCAGGAUUUGCUGAUGGGUUGGCUGUGGUUUGUGAAAGUGAGGUCAAGGUGAUGUCAAGGUUUUUGUCCUGAGCCGUUGGAAGGGUAGAAUUUCUAUCACCUAAAGUGGAGAAGGCCGGGAGAGGAACAGGUUUGGGGAGGGAUAUCAGAAGUCUGUUUUUUGGAGAAGUUGAACUUGAGAUGCCUGUUAGACAUCAAGUGGAGAUGCUGGGUAGCAGAUGGAUAUGAGUCUAGAGUGUAGGGACAAGAUCUGGGCUGAAGAUACAAAUUUGGGACUUGUGAGAAAAGAGGAAAGAUUCAAAGCUAGAGGCUAGAUGAGUUACUGGAGGGUGAGGGAGUGUAGACAGAAAAAAGAAGUUCAGUUUGAAUUUCCUUGUAACUUUGAUGAAAAUGUGAGUUAAAAUGAAAACUGUCUCUCAAUUACAGAAAGGUUAUUGGAAA